CUGUACUUUUUUUUUUAUUUCUUUUUAUCCAUGAUCGAAUUUUUUGAAAAAUGAUGAUUUUUUGAAAAGAUGUGAAAAUCAUGAUAAGGUUUUGAUUAUCACGAUGUAUUAAACCCAAUUUUUAAUUUUUAUUGUUUGAGUUUGCUGUAAUUUUUUUUUUUUUUUUUCCAUGCUUGAAUUUUUUGAAAAAUGAUGAUUUUCCGAAAAGAUGUGAAAAUCGUGACAAGGUUUUAAUUAUCAUGAGGUAUUAAACCAUAUUUUAAAUUUUUAUUGUUAAAGUUUUUGUUGAAAAAAUUGUAUGUUGAUGGAUU
rnacentral:lncRNA from 1 species